ACUGCCUCUGGGGUCACAAAACAGCCCGUGAAAAGCUGUUACUUAUCCGAUAGGCUUUACAAAUAGGUGUUUUUUCCCUUUCCAGAGGUCAGAGGUCAUGUCAAACUGCUUCUAGGGUCACAAAACAGCCCGUGAAAACCCCAAUUACUUAUCCGAUAGGCUUUACAAAUAGGUGUUUUUUCCGCUCCCGAGGUAGAGGUCAUGUCAAACUGCCUCUAGGGUCACAAAACAGCCCGUGAAAACCCCAUUACUUAUCCGAUAGGCUUUACAAAUGGGUGUUUUUUCCGUGUCAAACCACCUCUGGGGUCACAAAACAUCCCAUGAAAAUCCCAACCUCUCCGAUCGCCUCUACGAAACAGCCGAAAUGGUGCAGAUACGUUUAAAAAUAUGGGCUUUUAGAGAGCGGGAGACAGAGAAUUAGGCCGCUAGAGUGAGAGAGAGAGCGAGAGUGAAAGACGAAGGGCUGUUACCCCCUCACACUACACUAGUCCAUCUUAACCUAAGUCUGGCCUGACCUACACAGCACAGCGAGCACUAACUAGAAAUGACAAGCCACCGAACGGGCGCCCCUUCUCCUCCCUCCGUGGGGCGUUGAGGGGGGCCGCUGCGACGCCUAUCCCUGCACCAUGGAUGCCGUAUGCCGCCGAUAAGGGCCGGCGCCACCCUGACCAGGAGGACGCGUUACUGCACUCGCCACGAUGGGUUUGUUAGUCGAGUACAUGUAACGAUUUUGCAGUUGGCUAUACGAUGGUGUUAGUGUUAGAACUGUAUAGAUUGUGGGUCGUUCUGCUACAGUUUCGGGUCACGGCAUAUUGUAUUCGUAAGUCUCGUAAACAAAACUGUUGAAGAUAGUGUUAAAUUUGUGAAGUUACCGACUCAUAACGAUUUUGCAGUUGGCUAUAAGAUGGUGUUAGCGUUAGAACUGUAUAGAUUGUGGGUCGUUCUGCUACAGUUUUGAGUCACGGCAUAUUGUAUUCGUAAGUCUCGUAAACAAAACUGUCGUAAUAACACUAAUCAUAAUGUAGAUAGCAUUAAAUUUGUGAAGUUACCGACUCAUAACGAUUUUGCAGUUGGCUAUAAGAUGGUGUUAGUGUUAGAACUGUAUAGAUUGUGGGUCAUUCUGCAGUAGUUUUGGGUCACGGCAUAUUGUAUUCGUAAGUCUCGUAAACAAAACUGUCGUAAUAACACUAAUAAUAAUGUAGAUAGCGUUAAAUUUGUGAAGUUACCGACUCAUAACGAUUUUGCAGUUGGCUAUACGAUGGUGUUAGCGUUAGAACUGUAUAGAUUGUGGGUCGUUCUGCUACAGUUUCGGGUCACGGCAUAUUGUAUUCGUAAGUCUCGUAAACGAAACUGUCGAAAUAACUCUAUUAAUGAUGUAGUUUGCGUUGAGAUCGUUUAGUUAUUGUGGGUCAUUCUGCAACAGUUUCGGGUCACGGCAUAUUGUAUUCGUAAGUCUCUUAAACAAAACUGUCGAAACAACUCUAAUAAUGAUGUAGUUUGCGUUGAGAUCGUUAAGUUAUUGUGGGUCUUUCCUGCAACAUUUACGAGUUCUUGAAUAUCAAAUUGUUCAUUCCAGACCCCAAACGGUGAUACCAACACAGAUUAUGACCUUGUAGUUGGUUUCCCAGACCCAAAACAGACAUAAAAAUGCUAAUAUUGAUAAAGAAGUUAAAACUGUAAACUGAGAGUCUUUCUGCAACAAUCACGAGUCUUAGGGCAUCGUACUUUUCUGUUCCAGACCCCAAACUGUUAUACCCACAUGUACGACGAUGGAGAUAGCUUCAAAACCGUAUCGUCUAACACCAUUUCUACUUUUUUUUCAACUGCUACGCAUCAGAAAACAUCAAAUACAGUAUGCCUCAAAUUACCGAACCCACACAAGUUCCGAUAGAUUGAUAGACGCAGUACGAUAGAUCAAAACCGUAUCAUCUAACAUCCUUUUUCCAACGGUUACGAGUCCGCCAACCUCCAAACCCCUUGUGGCGAGUGCAGUAACCCGCCCUCCCUGGUCCUGACUAGUCUAUUGGAGCCGGGCGAUCUCGGCUCCACGGGUGUACACACAGUAUAGUUUCAACAAGAGAUAUGUAUUGUCCAACCCACUCACCCGCCCAGUCCGUCAGCCAGUCAGUCAGCUUGUCAGUUAGUUAAGUAAGUCAGUUUUAGCUAUUGUGAAUGUGUGUGUGUUUGUGUGUUUUCAAGAAGUGUGUGUGUGUGUGUGUGUGUUUGAGUACGUAUUGUUGUGUGUGUAUUUAAAAGUGUGUGUGUGUGUGUGUGUGUGUGU